rnacentral:rRNA from 1 species
GUCGAGCGGGGUGAUGUAGCUUGCUACGUUACCUAGCAGCGGACGGGUGAGUAAUGCUUAGGAAUCUGCCUAUUAGUGGGGGACAACAUUCCGAAAGGAAUGCUAAUACCGCAUACGCCCUACGGGGGAAAGCAGGGGAUCUUCGGACCUUGCGCUAAUAGAUGAGCCUAAGUCAGAUUAGCUAGUUGGUGGGGUAAAGGCCUACCAAGGCGACGAUCUGUAGCGGGUCUGAGAGGAUGAUCCGCCACACUGGGACUGAGAUACGGCCCAGACUCCUACGGGAGGCAGCAGUGGGGAAUAUUGGACAAUGGGCGAAAGCCUGAUCCAGCCACGCCGCGUGUGUGAAGAAGGCCUUUUGGUUGUAAAGCACUUUAAGCGAGGAGGAGGCUACUUAGAUUAAUACUCUAGGAUAGUGGACGUUACUCGCAGAAUAAGCACCGGCUAACUCUGUGCCAGCAGCCGCGGUAAUACAGAGGGUGCGAGCGUUAAUCGGAUUUACUGGGCGUAAAGCGUGCGUAGGCGGCUUCUUAAGUCGGAUGUGAAAUCCCUGAGCUUAACUUAGGAAUUGCAUUCGAUACUGGGAAGCUAGAGUAUGGGAGAGGAUGGUAGAAUUCCAGGUGUAGCGGUGAAAUGCGUAGAGAUCUGGAGGAAUACCGAUGGCGAAGGCAGCCAUCUGGCCUAAUACUGACGCUGAGGUACGAAAGCAUGGGGAGCAAACAGGAUUAGAUACCCUGGUAGUCCAUGCCGUAAACGAUGUCUACUAGCCGUUGGGGCCUUUGAGGCUUUAGUGGCGCAGCUAACGCGAUAAGUAGACCGCCUGGGGAGUACGGUCGCAAGACUAAAACUCAAAUGAAUUGACGGGGGCCCGCACAAGCGGUGGAGCAUGUGGUUUAAUUCGAUGC